UAGUUAUUCUUUCACGCUUUUAUAAUAGACUAUGAAACCUCGUUGGUGUGGAAACAAACAAAAAAACCUGACACUGUUCCUUCCUUCCAAUGGGAUUCAACACCUUGCAUACAAGGAUAAACAGAUGGCAUCCUGAGAUCAUUAAUAACACGCUCAGAUCUGGUGAUGGUCCCUCAAAGAAUAAAACCCUGAAUAAGCCUGGACCCCCUUAAGAGAACUUUGCUAUGUUGACACUUGAAGCCCUGCUCGUGAAUAGCACAGGUGUAUGAAUGUGGUUUCCUCACCAUGAGUGGAUUCACGUAAAUUCAGAAAACGUGGUUCCACCCAGACAAAGCUGACCUGAGUUAAACACUUAAUGCCAGGAACAUGUGGUUCACGGCGCGCCUUAUGCCGACAGUGUAGAGACCAGAAAUAACGAAUUCCACCCUUUACUUUCAUCUCCUGGGAGAAUAUUAAAGGGUUUCCAGUUGGGAACCCAGAACAUGACCUGCAGCCUAGUGAAGGACGCCAACUUGGAAUGUGCAUUCUGCACAGGAAGGAGACUGAACUCUGAGAGGCAGAUGCCUUCCCCCCAAGCCCGUCAGCUUCUAGGUGCACAGAAUCAGGAUUUCAACUGAGAUCUCCCGACACCAAAUCCAGGGCUCUUUCCAUUCCAUUCUGGAGAGGGACUUGCGACAAUGAGCCCCUAAAUGCCAGAAGAAAGAAGAGCGUGAUGAAGAGGAAGUGAGAGUUAAGAACUGCAGUUACACACAGAAAAAAAGAAUGCACAUAAAAUAAAGCACACUUGCCCAUGAAAUGAUUUCAAGUAUGAAACUUCUUUGGAAGAUUGCAAAUCUUCCAUAAAUGUUAUUUCUAAACUGUGCCCAUUCCUGCAUGAAGGAAAGGAGGAAUACGACUUCUUUUUUUUUCCUUUCUGCUUCAUUUUGUGCCACAGAGGCCCCAGUUCUGAGUCCCACAACACAAAGCAGUAAAUAGGGCAGGGUUUAUCAUGGUCAAGGGCUGAGGUCUUGUAUCAAACUCUCUGGGUCUGAAAAUCCAGUCUGUCACUUUUCACUUGUGUGUUAAAUUACUAAGCCUAAGCCUCAGUUUCCCAUCUGUAAAGUGCAGAAAAUAUGGCUCAGUCGUUUAAGUGUCUGACUUCGACUUGAUCUCACGGUUUGUGAAUUG